rnacentral:rRNA from 1 species
GACGAACGCUGGCGGCGUGCCUAAUACAUGCAAGUCGAACGCAUUUUCUUUCACCGUAGCUUGCUACACCGAAAGAAAAUGAGUGGCGAACGGGUGAGUAACACGUGGGUAACCUGCCCAUCAGCGGGGGAUAACACUUGGAAACAGGUGCUAAUACCGCAUAAUUCCAUUUACUGCAUGGUAGAUGGAUGAAAGGCGCUUUUGCGUCACUGAUGGAUGGACCCGCGGUGCAUUAGCUAGUUGGUGGGGUAACGGCCUACCAAGGCUGCGAUGCAUAGCCGACCUUGGAGGGUGAUCGGCCACACUGGGACUGUGACACGGCCCAGACUCCUACGGGAGGCAGCAGUAGGGGAUCUUCGGCAAUGGACGCAAGUCUGACCGAGCAACGCCGCGGGAGUGAAGAAGGUUGUCGGGUCGUAAAACUCUGUUGUUAGAAAAGAACAAGGAUGAGAGUGGAAAGUUCAUCCCUUGACGGUAUCUAACCAGAAAGCCACGGCUAACUACGUG